UACGUAGGGGGCAAGCGUUGUCCGGAAUCAUUGGGCGUAAAGAGCGUGUAGGCGGCCUGGUAAGUCCGCUGUGAAAGUCCAGGGCUCAACCCUGGAAUGCCGGUGGAAACUGUCAGGCUCGAGUCCGGAAGAGGCGAGUGGAAUUCCUGGUGUAGCGGUGAAAUGCGCAGAUAUCAGGAGGAACACCAAUGGCGAAGGCGGCUCACUGGCCCGGUACUGACGCUGAGACGCGAAAGCGUGGGGAGCAAACAGG
rnacentral:rRNA from 1 species